rnacentral:tRNA from 1 species
UGGCUCAGUGGUAGAGAGCUUGCCUUGCAAGCAUGAAGCGUGAGGUUCGAUUCCUCA